GAUGAACGCUGGCGGCGUGCCUAAUACAUGCAAGUCGAGCGAACGGACGAGAAGCUUGCUUCUCUGAUGUUAGCGGCGGACGGGUGAGUAACACGUGGAUAACCUACCUAUAAGACUGGGAUAACUUCGGGAAACCGGAGCUAAUACCGGAUGAUAUUUUGAACCGCAUGGUUCAAAAGUGAAAGACGGUCUUGCUGUCACUUAUAGAUGGAUCCGCGCUGCAUUAGCUAGUUGGUAAGGUAACGGCUUACCAAGGCAACGAUGCAUAGCCGACCUGAGAGGGUGGUCGGCCACACUGGAACUGAGACACGGUCCAGACUCCUACGGGAGGCAGCAGUAGGGAAUCUUCCGCAAUGGGCGAAAGCCUGACGGAGCAACGCCGCGUGAGUGAUGAAGGUCUUCGGAUCGUAAAACUCUGUUAUUAGGGAAGAACAGAUGUGUAAGUAACUGUGCACAUCUUGACGGUACCUAAUCAGAAAGCCACGGCUAACUACGUG
rnacentral:rRNA from 1 species